AGCUUUGUGCAGUGGGAGAAUUGUAACCAGUGAGGCUUAUCCAAGGCACGAUUAUUGUUAACUAAAUAUCUUAUUUCUGUUUCCUAUAUUUAACUGAAUAAACUAGAAUUUCUUCAUUCCCUCUAAGA
rnacentral:snRNA from 1 species